rnacentral:rRNA from 1 species
CGAAUCUACCCUUCCGUCCGGGAUAACUAGCCGAAAGGUUAGCUAAUACCAGAUACGCUCAUCGAGCGGCAUCGUUUGAUGAUGAAAGCAGCAAUGCGCGGAUUGAGGAGCCUGCGGCCCAUUAGCUAGUUGGCGAGGGUAAUGGCCUACCAAGGCGACGAUCGGUAGCCGGCCUGAGAGGGUGAUCGGCCACACUGGAACUGAGACACGGUCCAG